UACGUAGGGCGCAAGCGUUGUCCGGAAUUACUGGGCGUAAAGGGCUCGUAGGCGGCCAACUAAGUCAGACGUGAAAUCCCUCGGCUUAACCGGGGAACUGCGUCUGAUACUGGAUGGCUUGAGAUUGGGAGAGGGAUGCGGAAUUCCAGGUGUAGCGGUGAAAUCCGUAGAUCUACGAAGGAACGCCAAAAGCGAAGGCAGCUCUCUGGGUCCCUACCGACGCUGGGGUGCGAAAGCAUGGGGAGCGAACAGG
rnacentral:rRNA from 1 species